rnacentral:rRNA from 1 species
UGGGGAAUAUUGGACAAUGGGGGCAACCCUGAUCCAGCAAUGCCGCGUGUGUGAAGAAGGCCUGCGGGUUGUAAAGCACUUUCAGUAGAGAAGAAAAGCCUAAGGUUAAUAACCUUGAGUCUUGACGUAACCUACAGAAGAAGCACCGGCUAACUCCGUGCCAGCAGCCGCGGUAAUACGGAGGGUGCAAGCGUUAAUCGGAAUUACUGGGCGUAAAGCGCACGUAGGUGGUUUUGUAAGUCGGAUGUGAAAGCCCUGGGCUCAACCUGGGAAUUGCAUUCGAUACUGCUUAACUAGAGUAUGGUAGAGGGAAGUGGAAUUUCCGGUGUAGUGGUGAAAUGCGUAGAUAUCGGAAGGAACACCAGUGGCGAAGGCGACUUCCUGGGCCAAUACUGACACUGAGGUGCGAAAGCGUGGGUAGCAAACAGGAUUAGAUACCCAAGUAGUCCCUGAGCGGGCUGGCAAGGCGCAU